rnacentral:rRNA from 1 species
AUUGAACGCUGGCGGCAGGCCUAACACAUGCAAGUCGAGCGGAUGAAGGGAGCUUGCUCCUGGAUUCCGCGGCGGACGGGUGAGUAAUGCCUAGGAAUCUGCCUGGUCGUGGGGGAUAACGUCCGGACACGGGCGCUAAUACCGCAUACGUCCUGAGGGUGAACGUGGGGGAUCUUCGGACCUCACGCUAUCAGAUGAGCCUAGGUCGGAUUAGCUAGUUGGUGGGGUAAAGGCCUACCAAGGCGACGAUCCGUAACUGGUCUGAGAGGAUGAUCAGUCACACUGGAACUGAGACACGGUCCAGACUCCUACGGGAGGCAGCAGUGGGGAAUAUUGGACAAUGGGCGAAAGCCUGAUCCAGCCAUGCCGCGUGUGUGAAGAAGGUCUUCGGAUUGUAAAGCACUUUAAGUUGGGAGGAAGGGCAGUAAGUUAAUACCUGGCUGUUUUGACGUUACCAACAGAAUAAGCACCGGCUAACUUCGUG